GUCUUAAUGAAAAACGUAGGUGAUAUUACAGAGAAUAUGAAUGUCAAUUUUGUUUUGGGUUUCCACGACGAUACGUGCUCUAUUUCUGACCCUGAAACAGCAGCAAAAGUGAGGCUGUUAUGAAGCCAAAAAUAAUAAUUAAAGACCCUACUUUAGAAAAUUAUUCUGAACAAACCGUAAGUCGAAACUAGUCGAAGUCUUCACGGAAGUUGUAGAUAUGAUUGUGAAGUAUAAGAAUGUCAAAUUUGUUUUGGAGCGGAACUGUUUUCCGGGUGAUGUUUCGAGGCCCAAACAGCAGCCCUUAGAGGACUGUUUUAGCUGUUUUGAAAAUCAGCUUUAGGAAACCAACUUCCGAAUUAGUUUCCGACACUUUCGAGAUCUAUUUUCAAACUAAGGUCUAAACGAAUAUUGUAGGCAACGUUCCAAACUGUAAGAAUGUCAUUUUUAUUUAAAAUUUGGAUGACUCUAAGUAAUAAUUUUAAUAGCUCAAAAUUGGUCGAAAAACAUGAAAUAAAUAAGACGUUUUAAGAAGCUAACUUUGAGCAAUAUUUUGGAGACCUUAGAGAUGUCGAAUGAAGUUCGAGUCUGAAGGAAAGUCGUAGAUGAUUUUAUGGACUAUAGAAAUGUAAAAUGUAUUUGGUAAACGGGUGAUAUUAGAUGAGCGUUUUUGAUAGCCGAAGUGGGCUAUAAAAGCAAUUUUGAAUAAGUUAAAGUUAUUUAAAUAGUAUUGCUUUGAUUAAUCAAAUAUGAUUUUUGAUUAAUACCAAAGAUAGUGAAAAAGGCGUUUUGAAGUUCUAUCGAAAAUAAUUUGAUACGAGUACGCUGAGUUACGUUUAGUUAUUAAACGUAAUAUUUUGGUCGUUAUAAAAUAAGGAUUUUUAUUAUAUUUUCUAACGAUAGAAUUCUACGUUAGAUACGACGAAUUAUCAAGCUACGGACUUGACGAACCAAGAUAUCUUGACGGGGAUCGAUGAUAUAUUUUAUUAUUUUGGAUUAUUAGCGAUCCAGUGUUUUAUUUCAGGUGAUCGAAGUCGGACCAGACAGACCAUCUCCUUUGUGUCGGCAGCCUUUUGGCUUACACAAAGUACGAGUUUUUAUAGAGCUGCAGUAGUCAGUAGGUGUCAGUACAAGGUUUAUGAAUCAAUUUCAAACGGUAUUUGAAAAGUAAACUCUGAUAUAAUUUUAUAAAUGAAUUGUUUAGAAAGAUGGCGUUUAGCCGUUUGAAUUUGAUACCAAUUACUGUGAAUGGAAUUGGUGAUGUUUGUGAUCAGAAACAGGGCGGUGCUGGAUAUGAGAUAUCGCUCGGUAAGACCCUGGUUUCUAGGAAUUGUUUCGCGAAUGUUUUCAGAAAAGGAAUACGAUAUUUUUAUAAUUGAAUUAUAUUAUUUAAAGAAGAUUUCUGAUAAUGUAUUAUAUAUAAUAAAACGUUUUAAUCGCGAAAAAUUUAUAUUGAUUUUAGGUUUGCUACGGGUUCCGGAACUACCACUCCCGUUCCGUAGCGCCGGUCGCGGCUUAAUAAUUUGGGUCGUGACAAUUGUGGUAUCAGAGCAGUUGGUCCAGUUACCUCUGCUAAUAUGUGUUUUGUCAGUUAAGUGACCUAGGAACUACUGCAGCUAUAGAGUUGAGCUCUGUCUGAUCCAAGUAGUUUGCAUUGUUGUCUUGUGAUAAGUGUAGUUGAUUGGUUUGUGAAAUGCUUGUUUGUUUCUGUGACAUGCAUAUAUGACAUGCAUACGCAUAUUUUAUUUUCAAUAGGAUAUGCAUAUGCGACAUGCAUAUCCAGAUGGAAUCUCGAGGAGAUGCAAUGCCCCCUAUGACUAUAAUAUAACUGAUGUUACUAUGACUUGAUAGUAACACGUACUUGAUUGGCAUUGAAUAACGCCAUAUGCUGUCGAAUUUGAUCAAUUGAAGUGUCAAAAAGAGAAUGAAGAAGGAAUGCAAAGUUACAAAAGUUGAAGAACUUUCCAGAUACAGAGUUUAAAGGUCUAGAGAGCUUACAAAACUCAAACUUUAUAACUUUCUAAAGUUGUUUUGUUUAAACAAUUUUGAAAGCAUAAUUGUGCCUAGACUCGUGAUAGUCAUUGAUAAAUGCCACGACAUUGAUAGAAGUGCAUCACUACAUAUACUGCUAAUGAAAAGAACAAUAAAUGAAUACAUGCAUUAAUAGUACAUGCAUCAUAUGCAUUAUGCUUAGACGAAAAGGUGAGAUGUGGCAACUCUUUGAGGAUGAGAGACGUCAUCACCCUAGUGCACAAUUUUGCUAAGAUUUAAAUGGAGUUUGGAUUUAAAUCUCGAAAUAAGAUGUUUUAUUUGAAAAAGUUUUCAAGGAAUUUUUUUUUAAGUAAGUAUACCUAGACCAGAACUCUGUGACGGAAGUGAAAUGCUCGCGAGCAAGCUGCGAUUAAGGCCAUGAGGCGAAUGAAUACGUAUAAUUGCGAGAAUAUAGAAGUUAUGCUUCUAGGAUAUGAACUUAGCCAUGAGUUAACGAGCUAGAUUAUAGCUAAAAAUCAUAGAUGUAUUGGAAAGUUAUGUGUACCAGAUUAGUGGUAAGCUAGAAAGUAAGUAUCUCUUUGACAGGACGUCAAAGAUGUUAAACUACAAUAUAAGAGAAGAAAUAUAUAAGAAGAUAUAAUCGAAAGAUUGACGGGUGCAUGUCAUAGUGCAAGGAACAUACAUAGUUUACUAUGCAUUGACGUGAUAAGCUAUAGAUAUGAUCUACGAAUCGUGAAGGUUAGUAAAACCGUGAUAACUUCUGAUUGAGCCGUUGGAUCAAGUUGAUAUCAGAAUAUGAUAUUCCUAAGAUGGUUACCAACGUAUUAACCGUUAUGAUCAUCAAACUGAAAACUAGAAGUAGUUUUCCUAAGAGUAUCGAUGAUGGACAUGUAUGGAUAGAAGUGGGUUAGUAGACCACAGAAAAUAUAAACGCGAUGAAUGUAUGUGGAAUGUAAGAUCCCAAAUUUCAAGUUUGGCUGAUAAGGUAUAUAUGAAUUAUGAACAUAAGAAGUAUAUAAGAUGUGCAUGGCAUGAAAUGUACAAAUAAGAGUUGAGCUAUGAUAGUAUUCAAUGAGAAGGAAGGAUAUAGGAGUCAAUAAGGACAUAAGAUCCUAAAAUUUUGAUAUGAGGAAUAAUAAUGUGUGAAAUAAACAACGCUAAACUAAGUAUGCGAGUAUAGGAAAACCGCUCAUUGGAUAUAAUUGAGUUAGUGUAUGGUAAAGACAUGUAAAUGAUGAGUUGAAGAAGAAGAACAUGAAUAGUUAAGAUUACGAUAUCGAGAGAGACGUCGUAAUUUAAAGACUUUGAUCAAUGUCUAAGGUACAUCUAUUUGAAAGUAAGAUGAAGGCAUUAUACCAAUAGAGGGACCGAUAAGUUCGGGUUUAGGUAACACACAAAGUUGACAGGUACAUUAGCUGUACCUAGUAAAGUACGUCAAGGAAUGAUAUAAACUAUGUUUGGAUUAAUGCCAAAAGUUUAUGAAAGGUCUAUAAAUGAUUCGGAUAGGAAGAAAGACACGAGGAGUGUCAAGGAUUAGUGCCUCAACCUUUAAGAUGUUGACGAAACAAGGUCAAGCUGUCUAGUGACAGUAACGUUUGCUAUAGGAUCCAGAAAGUCUUAAGAGACGUCUGGACAGAUCGAGGCGAUUCUAUAUGGAAGUAACUAGUGUGAGGAAAGAUUCGAAAGGUGUUGCAAAGGUCGAAUGUUAGAAUCAACAUAUAUUUCGCAUAAGGGAUGAGGAGUGUGAAAGGAGUACGAUUAUAAGGCUUAAUAUUAGUUGUGCUGACAGAACAAAUGUUAGUGUAAGAUGCAUUCCAUAAGUAUAGUGAAUGUUACUAUGUUUAAUACUGAAGUAAUUCAAGGUAAGCAAUGUCUAAGAUAGUCAUAGACAAUCGGAUAUGCAACGAUGAGGAAUGAAAUGAAAGACGACGACAAGGAUAAGUCAUGAAUAAGAGGACUCAUAAGGAGUUUGAAUAUAAGGAAAUUACAUGGAAGAAACGAAGAGUUAUCAUAGAAUUCUAAAGAUGUUACUUCUAUAACUCCAAGAAUAAGUUAUCUAUGGGUUUAUAGACCAACAUAGAACAAGUUGUUAAGGAUGUAUACGGAAAAAAAAAUUAUAUAUCAAAGAUGAUAGCUAAGAGGAUAAUCAAGUUUAAUUAUUUAAACUUGAUACACUUCGAGAUUGAUGAACUGUAUGAAGGAUCCAAUCAAGAGAGUUCGAGAACCACAAGAUGGUUAACAAUAUAGAAGUAUAACAAUGCAAAGAAUAAGCUCAGGAUACAGUAAAGUAUCAUUAGAUAAAUAAUGUCUAAUGAAAGCUAUUGGUCAUUAAGAUAAAGAGCUAUCGAAAUGAUAUGAAAGGAUAACAAAAUAUCAAGAGACGUAUCGAAGCAGUGUAGAUAACACUUGUAGCUAUUGACAAGGAUAUUCUGCUAAAGUGACAUACAACUUGAAAGUAAGGAGUAUAAUCAUAAGUAUAAGGGAAGACAAACAGUAUGAGAAGCGGAUGCCAAUUCGAUAAGGAUAUAGACACGAACAUAGGAUAAGUCUAGAAAAGACUCGACUCAUGAUACAAGAUCAUGAUGUUGACGAGUCAACGAGGCAAUAAGCCAACGAUUCAAAGUAACGAUAAGAUGAUUGAUGUAUGAUUACGAUCAGCAAAAUUAUAAGUGAGGCAAUUACUUUGGAUAAGCAAUUCAAGUAAUGUAAAUCUAGGAAACUCUUCUAACAGUAAGUAAGCAGAGAAGACCGUCAAGGGAUGAUGAUAAGAAGUGACUUCUAGAGACACUAUGGAUUAAAAAGACGAUAUCAAGAAAGGUCUGAAAUUAAUAGUUAAUGUCAUUGCACCGGAGGUACAAGGAUUGGAAUAACGAUUCCGCAUACCGACAAGUACCCUAAGACAAGUAUGGUAUAACCAUUAAGGAAAAUGGUAAAGAUAUUAGUUUAAAUAAGUAAGAAAGUUUAUUUAGAAUUCGAGGACGAAUUCUUAUAAGGGGGGAAGAAUGUAAUGCCCCGUACUUUUGGAAAUAUUAAUAGCAGUGUCACGAGGCAUAAAUAUAAUGAUUUAGUAUUAAGAACGUCAGAAUUAAGUUCAAGAAAUAAGAAUUAGACCAAAGUGGUCUAAUAAAAUUUAUCGCAAUAUAAUAAUUUAAUUAUUAUGCGAUAAAUUGGAAUUUAGCGGAACUUAAGUAUCGAAAUAAGAAAAAUAUAUAAUUCAUUGGAUUCGAGUAAAUAAAUAAUGCGGAGUCCAUUAUUUAUCAAUAAAUAAAUUAUCGUCAUGCUUUCAUAAAUUUAGGAAACCGUUUUAUAAAUUAGACGCGACAAUUAAUUAAAGAUUUGAGUUAAAGUGUAAUUUAACCAAAUUGAACUUAAGUUGAACUUUAACCAAACUUAGAAAAAAAGUAUUGUAUGAGUCAUGUUAUAAGAGUAAUGAAUAGAUAAGAAAAGAAUAAGAAUAGAAGAGAAGAAUAUAAGGUUACAGAACAAAAAAGAUCAUCACGCCAUCUUCUUUCUUCUCUUGUGCGCGCGAUGGACGACGACAUCGAUAACUCCGCGAUCCGACCACCGUUUUCGAUGAUUCAAAUUGCUAUGGAUAGCUAACUCAAUAAGGAAUAAGUGUUUUAUUUCAGGUGAUCGGAGUCGGACCAGACAGACCAUCUCCUUUGUGUCGGCAGCCUUUUGGCUUACACAAAGUACGAGUUUUUAUAGAGUUGCAGUAGUCAGUAGGUGUCAGUACAAGGUUUAUGAAUCAAUUUCAAACGGUAUUUGAAAAGUAAAUUCUGAUAUAAUUUUAUAAAUGAAUUGUUUAGAAAGAUGGCGUUUAGCCGUUUGAAUUUGAUACCAAUUACUGUGAAUGGAAUUGGUGAUGUUUGUGAUCAGAAACAGGGCGGUGCUGGAUAUGAGAUAUCGCUCGGUAAGACCCUGGUUUCUAGGAAUUGUUUCGCGAAUGUUUUCAGAAAAGGAAUACGAUAUUUUUAUAAUUGAAUUA